rnacentral:rRNA from 1 species
UACGUAGGGGGCUAGCGUUGUCCGGAAUCAUUGGGCGUAAAGCGCGCGUAGGCGGCCCGGUAAGUCCGCUGUAAAAAGUCAAAGGCUCAACCUUUGAAUGUCAGUGGAUACUGCCGGGCUAGAGUCCGGAAGAGGCGAGUGGAACUCCUGGUGUAGCGGUGGAAUGCGCAGAUAUCAGGAAGAACACCGACGGCGAAGGCAGCUCGCUGGGGACGGUACUGACGCUGAGGCGCGAAAAGCGUGGGGGAGCGAACAGG